GACGAACGCUGGCGGCGUGCCUAAUACAUGCAAGUCGAACGGUAAGGCUCCAGCUUGCUGGGGUACACGAUUGGCGAACGGGUGAGUAACACGUGGGUGACCCGCCCUGCACUUCGGGAUAAGCCUGGGAAACUGCGUCUAAUACCGGAUAUGACCAUGGUGUGGAUAUUGUGCUGGAAUGAUUUUGCGGUGUGGGAUGGGUCCGCGGCCUAUCAGCUUGUUGGUGGGGUAUUGGCCUACGAAGGCGGCGACGGGUAGCCGGCCUGAGAGGGUGGACGGCCACAUGGGGACUGAGACACGGCCCAGAAUGCUACGGGAGGCAGCAGUGGGGAAUAUUGCGCAAUGGGCGGGAGCCUGAUGCGACGACGCCGCGUGGGGGAUGACGGCCUUCGGGUUGUAAACUCCUUUCACCGUCGACGAAGGGUUUCUGACGGUAGAUGGAGAAGAAGCACCGGCUAACUACGUG
rnacentral:rRNA from 1 species